CAUUCAUUCUUCCGGUAGAUAUUCUAGACUUUAUCGUUUCUAUUUUUUUCUUCCUGAAAUCGCAUACACCGAUUGUUGUGUUCGAUUUCUACAUUUCAAUGUACUGAUCUCUUGUAAUCGGAGAUUUCAUCGACUUCGUAGCGGCCUUACAGUGUAGCCACCCCACUGCCAUAAUUUCUUAAUAGCAUAAUCGGGAAUAAAUAUAUGUUUGAAAUCCAAAAUCGAAAGGAAUACAAAUCCAAUUUCGUAAUAGUUAGUAGAGCAGAAAGAAAGCGAUUUCAGUCCGUUGCUAAAGUUAUGAAGAAAAAAUGGCGUCCUUGUGGUCUGAUUUUGGAAUAUGUUGGCUGUUGGAUUUCAACGAUGAAGAUAGGGCGACGAUGAAAAAGAGCAGCAAAUCUCUAUAAUCAUAAAGCAUGAUAGUGUUUAUUGAGUCGAGUGUUGAAGAGUAUGUUGCAUUCAACAACAGCUUAGAGAAUCUCACAUGAUUUCUUUUCACAUCUUAUGAAAGAAAUAGUAUUGUUGAAGAUGAGAAAGCACAAUAAAACUUGACAAUGGGAAGGAAUCUGGAGGACGUGUUGACGAUAUUGAAAUAUAAAUGGAGUCAAAAUAUUAAUUUCAAGUUGCUAAUUUUUUGGGAUUUCAUUGAAAUUUUGAAAAGAGUCAAAAUAAGAUAGGAUUUGUUACCAAACAAAUCAAACGUGAAUUGCUAUUGUUUCCAAAAAGCAUGGAAUUUAAAUUUAAAUUUAAAUGUUAUAAGAAACCGAAAAAUGCAAUAAGUUGAAAAAAAAUCGGAUUACAAUUUAAUUUUAAUGUAAUUUAAUUUGAAUAAUAAGAAUUAUUCAUAAAAUGACACGUGGCAUGUUAGAAUGGUAGAAA